rnacentral:rRNA from 1 species
GACGAACGCUGGCGGCGUGCUUAACACAUGCAAGUCGAACGGAAAGGCCCUGCUUUUGUGGGCUGCUCGAGUGGCGAACGGGUGAGUAACCCGUGAGUAACCUGCCCUUGAGUUUGGUAUAACUUCAUGAAACUUGGGCUCAUCCCGGAUAGGAGCUACCGCUGCAUGGUGGGGGUUGGAAAGUUUCGGCGGUUGGGGAGGGACUGGCGGCCUAUCCGCUUGUUGGUGGGGUAGUGGCUUACCAUGGCUUGGACGGGUAGCGUACCUGCUAGGGGGGCCGGACACAUUGGGACGGGGAUACGGCCCGGACUACUAUGGGAGGGAACAGUGGAGAAUAGUACACAAUGGGCGGAAGCCUAAUGCAGCAAAGCCGCGUGCGGGAUGACGGCCUUCGGGUUGUAAACCGCAUUCGCCUGUGACGAAGCGUGAAUGACGGUAAUGGGUAAAGAAGCACCGGCUAACUACGUG